GAUGAACGCUGGCGGCGUGCUUAACACAUGCAAGUCGAACGAUGAUGCCCACUUGUGGGUGGAUUAGUGGCGAACGGGUGAGUAACACGUGAGUAACCUGCCCUUGACUCUGGGAUAAGCCUGGGAAACUGGGUCUAAUACCGGAUAUGACCUUCCAUCGCAUGGUGGUUGGUGGAAAGCUUUUGUGGUUUUGGAUGGACUCGCGGCCUAUCAGCUUGUUGGUGGGGUAAUGGCCUACCAAGGCGACGACGGGUAGCCGGCCUGAGAGGGUGACCGGCCACACUGGGACUGAGACACGGCCCAGACUCCUACGGGAGGCAGCAGUGGGGAAUAUUGCACAAUGGGCGGAAGCCUGAUGCAGCGACGCCGCGUGAGGGAUGACGGCCUUCGGGUUGUAAACCUCUUUCAGUAGGGAAGAAGCGUAAGUGACGGUACCUGCAGAAGAAGCGCCGGCUAACUACGUGCCAGCAGCCGCGGUAAUACGUAGGGCGCAAGCGUUAUCCGGAAUUAUUGGGCGUAAAGAGCUCGUAGGCGGUUUGUCGCGUCUGCCGUGAAAGUCCGGGGCUCAACUCCGGAUCUGCGGUGGGUACGGGCAGACUAGAGUGAUGUAGGGGAGACUGGAAUUCCUGGUGUAGCGGUGAAAUGCGCAGAUAUCAGGAAGAACACCGAUGGCGAAGGCAGGUCUCUGGGCAUUAACUGACGCUGAGGAGCGAAAGCGUGGGGAGCGAACAGGAUUAGAUACCCUGGUAGUCCAUGUCGUAAACGUUGGGCACUAGGUGUGGGGGACAUUCCACGUUUUCCGCGCCGUAGCUAACGCAUUAAGUGCCCCGCCUGGGGAGUACGGCCGCAAGGCUAAGACUCAAAGGAAUUGACGGGGGCCCGCACAAGCGGCGGAGCAUGCGGAUUAAUUCGAUGCAACGCGAAGAACCUUACCAAGGCUUGACAUGAACCGGAAACGCCUGGAAACAGGUGCCCCACUUGUGGUCGGUUUACAGGUGGUGCAUGGUUGUCGUCAGCUCGUGUCGUGAGAUGUUGGGUUAAGUCCCGCAACGAGCGCAACCCUCGUUCUAUGUUGCCAGCACGUGAUGGUGGGGACUCAUAGGAGACUGCCGGGGUCAACUCGGAGGAAGGUGGGGACGACGUCAAAUCAUCAUGCCCCUUAUGUCUUGGGCUUCACGCAUGCUACAAUGGCCGGUACAAAGGGUUGCGAUACUGUGAGGUGGAGCUAAUCCCAAAAAGCCGGUCUCAGUUCGGAUUGGGGUCUGCAACUCGACCCCAUGAAGUCGGAGUCGCUAGUAAUCGCAGAUCAGCAACGCUGCGGUGAAUACGUUCCCGGGCCU
rnacentral:rRNA from 1 species